ACUCCUACGGGAGGCAGCAGUGAGGAAUAUUGGUCAAUGGAGGGAACUCUGAACCAGCCAUCCCGCGUGUAGGAAGACGGCCUUAUGGGUUGUAAACUACUUUUAUACAGGAAGAAACGUACCCUCGUGAGGGUGCCUGACGGUACUGUAGGAAGAAGCCCCGGCUAACUCCGUGCCAGCAGCCGCGGUAAUACGGAGGGGCAAGCGUUGUUCGGAAUUACUGGGCGUAAAGGGCGCGUAGGCGGGAUGUCAAGUUAGGGGUGAAAGGCCUGGGCUCAACCUAGGAACUGCCUCUAAAACUGAUAUUCUAGAGUCCGGGAGAGGAUGGCGGAAUUCCCAGUGUAGAGGUGAAAUUCGUAGAUAUUGGGAAGAACACCGGUGGCGAAGGCGGCCAUCUGGUCCGGCACUGACGCUGAGGCGCGAAAGCGUGGGGAGCAAACAGGAUUAGAUACCCUGGUAGGCUCUGC
rnacentral:rRNA from 1 species